AAAGGGAGACCUAAUUCAGGUAGGAGACGAAAAAAAAGUAGUCCCAACCAAGAAUCAAUCCCAAAAGGUCGGAGCGAGGUAUGAGGUUUUCAAACUAGGUUCUGGGUUCAUAAAAGACCUGAAUCAGGAACAAGGGCUAUUAGCUCAGGUGGUUAGAGCGCACCCCUGAUAAGGGUGAGGUCCCUGGUUCGAGUCCAGGAUGGCCCACCUGCACAGGUGGCAAAAACAAAGAAAAGAAGCUCCGAAUCAGCACCUUAUCUUACUUAUAUAGUAAGAGAGAAUGCUGGCUCUGAGUUCAGAGUCCAGAGGAACCUUGAAAACUGCAUAGAGCUAGGUGAAAAAGCCAAAAAAGAAGACCGCAAG
rnacentral:tRNA from 1 species